CCCGGGGCUGCCCGGGCCGGAGGCGCUGCUCCCCGCUCUCGUCCGCCCGGGCUGCGCGACAGUUCCUGUCGGAUUCCGGCGAACCUGUAAUGUAAUGAAUGACAGGACGAUCUAGCUCCUUGUGUAGCUAACUAGGUCACUGUCAGCACUUAAUUACUGUUUGUUUCAUUUUAGUGCGUGCCUUAUGAAUAAACCGGCUAUUAGGCUGAUGCUUCAAGUAACACUACCCAGCACCAAGGAUCACAGCCUAACACUGGAACAGUUUCGUCAACUAGAUGGAUGUCCUGGGAGAAUUCCCAAAGGAUUACUUACUUUGCUAAUCUCUGCUCAAGGACUUCUGGUGGCUUCAUUGCUAACAAAGGCUUAGCCUAAGUUGCUGCUCAGUGGAGAAGCCCAGCGUGAGCCCCUUGGCAAGGCAGAUAAUGACUCAAUCCUUUCCCAUGUCCACGGCAGUGAGGUGAAAAGGAGGAAGAGCAGUACUUCAGUUUUGUUUCUGCAAGUGAUUUUGGUCUUUACGGCCUUUGACUUCAUGGGGUGUUUUGGGCUUGCUCUCUUGCUGACCUUUCUCCCACUGCUGUCACAUAGUGAACUGACCUUGUCCUGCUUGCUUUCUUUCCUUCCCAGAAGGAUGUGGCUGGGAUGGGCACCCCCAGUGCAGGUGAUCCUGUCCCACGGCUCUCUCUGGUGGCCUGGGGAGCCUCCAGACCUAGCGGGGUCACCCAGCCUUCCCCCCCCAGCCAGCCCCUGGGUCCCACAGCCUCACAGCUCUUCUCUGUUUUGGCCGACCCUAUCGGUCUUAUGGAAGGGGGUUGGAAACUCAGCAUCCGUUUCAGUUGUAGUUGAUUUGCAGGUGAUUUGCCCAUCUGAGCUGCUUCUUUUUGGAUAUUGUGCCAUAGUUUUUCCAGGGAAACUGGAUACCUUUGCAGUUUCCUUCAAAUUUAAUGCCUCUGCAUAUUAGUAACAUUUAACUGGGAGUUAUUUUUCAACUUGAGUUGGCUGCACUUACAUAUUAAAUCUCUCAUAUUUUUAAUACAGAUCAGACUGGUAGCGUAUUCCUGAAAAGAAAGAAAAAACUACCAAUUGUUGGGGGCAAUAUCUUAUUUUAUAAAAUGGUAACUAACUUAUUUUAUAAAAUGGUAACUGUUUGACUCCUGGUUUAACUAGGAGACUCAUUUUGGGAAAAGACAUUAUGGACAAAUUCUAGUUAAUUUUUUUUUUCUGCAGUUGUUUUUAAAUUUUGUUUUCUGGAUAUAUAAAAUAAUAUUCAAAGUCUUUGAUUCUCCCAGACAGUCCUCAGAAGUAAUCAGAAUAAUUGUCUCUCUCUAAUAAACAAAACCUCCUUCCAUGUGUAUGUACACUUUCUUUUACAAAUAAGUUGCUUUUUUAAACUGUUUCUACAAGAACAAACUGGGAAAAAGAAAAAAUUUCCAGUUCCUAAAACCUUCAGUUCUUCCUGUUCAGAUUAAAAGACAGAUGUUUAAUAUAUUUUACUUUUGCUAAAAUAAUAAAAGCUUGUGUUGUUGAACAAAUAUUAUUCCUUAAUUUAGCAAGGCCUAUACAAAAUCAGUGUUGCUGUUUGCAGGACAGCAUGUCUUAGUGUGAAUCCCCUCCAUUGAACCAAGUUGGGCGAUGAGGGUUCUGCUGAUGGUGGGGCUGGGCUGGGGUGGCUGAGAAGGAUUUCUGCAGAAGGGACGCUCUGUGGAGGAGCUUCCAGGAUCGGGUUGAGCAUCAUUUGCCUCAGAUGCCUAUUGAGUUAUAGCAACUAAAACACUUGACAAUGCUUGUCUCAGCAAGAGCACACACCAUAUGCUUUGGGAACAUUCCCAAGCAGAAUAUUAUCCUCCUAGCACCCCAGCGAGCUCAUUAAUACUCCUGUUAUCCCAUUCAGUGGGACUAAUCCAGCAGCCCCCGAGUUCAGCGAGGAGAUUCAAGUUGUCUUUAGAAUGCUUUGAAUAAAACCUUAGAUGAAGUUUGCAUAAUUUAAGUCACACCAGUGGAAUUAUUUUCUAAAGUUAUCAAUGUUAGCAUAUUUGACAGUUUCUUUGUUCCAAGCUACCUGUCUUCCUCCACCUUAUGAAGAGCAGUGAUGUGAAAUGGAAAAAGGAAUAUGUUUUUAUAGGAGGAUUUCAAUUUGUGUACAUUACUGCUAUUUUCCUAUUUUUCCAGAGAAGGACUGGAAUAAGUUUGCACCACCUUUCUGUAUAAUACUAAUUCAAAUGCAAAUUUAUAUGUUGAUCAGAUUUUUUUCUCCAAAUAUGUGGUCAGUUCAUGGGAAAAAAUGUGGAAAUGUUAUAGUUGAUAUGGAUAAAGAAAGAUCCAGUUUAAGCUAAUGUAGUUCUCAGUCAAUUCUGGUAAUUCUUUAUUGCUUUCUGGUCAAACAACAAAUUUAAUAGAAAAAUAAUCCUUUACAAAAUAACUUAUUAUAUGUAAGAGAAGAAGAAUUAGGUUUUGCCAGAAAGAAACCCUCCUUGGAUCCAAAUAUUUUUCCAGACUGUAUUUCUUCAUAUGCUGGAAAAUUUUCUUUUCACUCCCAUUCAUUUUAACAGCAGAUUUUAUUUUUUUUUUUUUAAAGGAAAAAGAAUAGGAUAUGUGAUGAGUGAGGAAGAAUGAAGCUACAAAAUAAACAGACAAAAGAUACUAUUUCAAAUAAGUAUAUUUAUGGUAGUGGGAGGGAAACUUAGAUCAAACAAGAAGAAAAGACUGGAGAGGCUCUAGUUCGGAUUCCACUGAUGUGGUAACAGCUUUUAUUACAGUAUCUGGCUUUUUGAAAUAAAUAUUGAUAGAAUUAAAUGAAUAAAAGAGUGA